AACGAACGCUGGUGGCAUGCCUAACACAUGCAAGUCGAACGAACCCUUCGGGGUUAGUGGCGCACGGGUGCGUAACGCGUGGGAAUCUGCCCUUUGCUUCGGAAUAACAGUUAGAAAUGACUGCUAAUACCGGAUGAUGCCUUCGGACCAAAGAUUUAUCGGCAAGGGAUGAGCCCGCGUAGGAUUAGGUAGUUGGUGGGGUAAAGGCCUACCAAGCCGACGAUCCUUAGCUGGUCUGAGAGGAUGAUCAGCCACACUGGGACUGAGACACGGCCCAGACUCCUACGGGAGGCAGCAGUGGGGAAUAUUGGACAAUGGGCACAAGCCUGAUCCAGCAAUGCCGCGUGAGUGAUGAAGGCCUUCGGGUCGUAAAGCUCUUUUACCAGGGAUGAUAAUGACAGUACCUGGAGAAUAAGCUCCGGCUAACUCCGUGCCAGCAGCCGCAGUAACAC
rnacentral:rRNA from 1 species